UACAUCCAUCAUGGAGAGUAUUGUGUAAACCUCCUGUGGAGAUCUUCAGUGUAGAGUUGUAUUAUAGCCUCAAAUAGCUCGGUAUCAAAGUUUAAUAAGAUUGUUCUGUCCUGUAAUGCUCAUGAUGUUUUUCAUAUGUUUUUUGAAUGUCCAAGACUUGUUCCUUUAUUUGUAAUACUUGAAAGUUGAUCACAAAAUUGGGGUUUUCAUAUAACAAUACCUUAGUUUAUAUUAGGAUAUAAAUAUAAAAGUUCAUGGCAACAACAAUGAUUCUUGUCAUUUUUUAUUGGCCCAGCUAAGGCCUAGUCCACACGGACAUGGGUAUUUUUAUAACCGGAGUUUUUCCUGUUGUGGUUUAAAGAAAAUCCACUCCACACAUGCUCGCUUAAAGAAAUCUCUGCCCACAUGAACAUGGAACAACACGUAAUUACACGCUGUCAAGAGCAUGCCACACCGGCAGGCGGUGAUAUAACUCAAAUCAUAAAGCCACCGUGGCCAAUCAGAAGCCUAACACAAGUGACGUUGGAAGGCGGUUUUACUGUCUACACAACAACACUGCACUCGGCGUUUCUUAAAAUACACACCCUGGCAGGGGUUUUCAAAAAUGUUCAGUUUUAGUGACGUGAUACUGCGUGUCUGUGUGGAUGAAAGGCGUAAAAAAGUCACGGUUAUAAAAAUACCCGUGUCCAUGUGAACAAGGCCUAAGUUUGCCAUUUUGAAAUCCCGCCAGUGUAAAAAUGCAGGAAAAUAAGGCCUAGUCCACACGGACAUGGGUAUUUAUAACCUGAGUUUUUCCUCCAAACAAAUCCUGUCCACACAUGCUCAGUUUAAAAGAAAUCUCUGUCCACAUGAAAAAGCAAAAACACUUUUAUAAAAACACGCUUAUAAAAAUACUCAGGUCCGUGUGGACUAGGUCUAAGUCUUUUAUAGAAUUGUGAGUGUCCAUUGAGUUUACAUAUUACAAAUACACAGAUAAUGUUGCUUUGUUUUGAAUGGAGAUGGGGUGUGAGAGAGGCUGACUUUUGUUGUGGAUCUUGUAUCAAAUUUGUCUUAAGCCCUGUUUUCUCUCUCUCUCUCUCUCUCUCUCUCUCUCUCUCUCUCUCUCCCUAUAAUUUGAAAAUUACAUUGCUGUAGUUUGCAAUGAAUUGUGGGAGCAUGCUAAAUGCAAAUUUUACAGUUAUGUCUGCAAUAUUGUAUUUUUAAAAUAGGCUAAUAUGUAAAUGCUACAGGACAACAUGUAAUGACACUUAUUAUUUUAUUUUAUGUAUUUAUUUAUUUAUUGAAAAAGUCAGCUGUGGCACUAGCUUGGAAAUAAAAGCUUUGGCACUUUACAAUAACUGCAAUAAAUGCAGCCUAUUAAAUGAAUUAUAAACAUGCAUGUAGAUUCUGUUAAUGUACAAAUCUUUGUCAAAAAUGUUUGAUAAGAAACACAUUUACACAACAUGUGCGUAGCGCAGUACGUGUGAUGUCACGACGUCAUCAGCAAAUUUGCGCGCGGUGCACAUGCGCAUUGCGAGUUUGCGCAGACAGGUGUCUACGGAGUGGAAAGAAGUUGUUGCAUCUGAUAAUUCUUCAAUCGUGUAGCAGAAACUGCAGCUUACAUGGAAUGAGGAUUAUCGGAUUCACCUACACUCACUGAUCAUCCAAGGUGAAUUGAUGACCCCAAGCAAAUGGAUGUUGUCAUCUGAAGAGAAGGUUGUCCUGGGCCCAUGUUAAGAGGCAUUUGGGGCAUAUCAGACACAUAUCAGAAUCAAGCUGCAUGCACACUUGAGUUUAUUCAGAGAGAAGUUGUGGGCAUCAGUCUGGAAACUGGAUCAAAGAUUUGCUGCUGGAACGUGUGACAAAUAAAGGCAUGGAAUGAACCCAAAUGUAUGAACACUGCUACGAAAACUAAUGGACUUUGAAUGACUUACCAGUUAAUUCCAGUGGAAGUUUUCAAGUUUGUGGUUAAUUUAAAAGAUUAUCUUCAUAGAUAAGCAAUUUAAAGGUAGGCACAGUUAAAACUAUUUCUUGUGUGUUUGUUUAAACUGUAAAUUUAUGACUGAAGUUUGGUCACUAAUAUGUAGUAAUGUGUUCCUUUGUGGUUAAUUAAAUGCUGCAGUGCUUUGUGCUAUUCGUUGUUGUAUUUCCAACGCUAAAGCCUUAUUUUGUGAUCUGCAUUGUAUUGGAGAGUUUUGGAAACUAAUAUUUAUUAUCUUAAUGCAUUGGAAAGUUUUGGACUAUUUUACAAUAAAUGCAUUUGGCUACAUGAUUUUCU